GCUCCUCUCCGCCCGCAUACUCCCUCCCCUCCGCCCACUUCUGGUGGCCGCCACACCUCCCACUCCGUAUUCGCCUCCAUCUCCCCUCGUCUCCUCCAUUAGCCCUCCUCAGAUCCAGCUUCUGCCACUCACGUUCAGCACACACCCUCCACCCUCCCCUCUAGAGCGGCGCCAGGAGGGGAUGGCGAUGACCGAGAUGCGAGGCGGGGCGGGGCGGCGGUGGUGAAACCGGUUCUCGCGGCGUGGCCUGGCGGGGCCGGCGCGGCGGGUGGAGGCCGCCGCUGCCACCAUCCCAGGAGGUGGGCACGUCGACCGCGCGGCGCGGGAUGAGGUCGAUGCCGGCGACGAGCGCCUCGUGGUGCUCCCAGGCCUCCCAUCAUGAAUGGUUCCUUUUAUCUUGUUUGUGAUGUAGUGAGGGAUCCCAGGCCGACGACUGGCUUCGGCGGCGUCCAUCCCCCGUCCAGCAUUGUUUGCAUCAGCAGGUGUAACCUCGCGGAUCCAACUUGACUGGAUCCGUGGCCACCGGAUCCAUCGCUGCCACUGGGAUGUGGAGAGGCAGCUGGUGUUCUUUUUCCUUUCUCGAUUCAAUUUCUGCUAGUGAUUCAUGCAUGUGCACCUUCCCUUUUGAGGUUAUUGCGCCUGAUGCUUCUGAUUUGACAGGCGGGCAGACAACUCGCAAAUCUCAGCAUCAAGGGCGGAACCGUGCCUGGCCCUCGAGCCCUCCACUUCCGCCUCGAUGGUUGAAGGUAGCGAUUAGACUUGGAGGUGCACCUCGCGAGCUUUAUCUGCAGGAUGCCAUCCAUGCCGAGUAAGUGGAUUCAUUUGCUGAAAUCUCACCCCUUACUCUGUACUUUCUGUGAAACAAUUCCAUUUAUGACCUACAAUGUACCACGGCUAGGACUAACUUCGUGUGUUCUGGUCCUUUGGUAGCUCCGUGGCACAAGUUUUCUUGCUGAAAUUGUAAAUCCAGUGAAUGCAUACGGUAGAUUUUCAUGCAUCUCAUAGUUCAGUACUUGAUUCAGAAAUUAAUUUAGUGAUGCAUUGUUGCAACCGAACUUGUAAAAUCCAGUUAAUUGUACCAAAUCUCGUGUAUUGGAUUAAUUUCCCCUCAUUUGUUUCUUGUGAACAAGUGAUUUAUAUAAACUUAAAAGUACUGCUUGCUUAACUCACUUGAUGAUAAAUAAAAUGAGUUCUAAUUAAAAGUACUCCAGUUAAUUGUACUUAAUAAUCUUUUCUCUGUUCAUGUUAAUUUAAAUCACAAACUGAACCCUCUUUUAAUCACAUAUGUAUUCUGAAAGUUUCAGUUGGAAAUUUUGUUGCCUGGAAAUUGCAAUAAUUACUUUCUUUUAAAGUUAGUGAUUCUAUGAUAAAGCUAGUGCAAUAUUGCAGAUAAAGAGAUCUUUUAAAGCCAUAUUGAUGGCAACAUUUCAGACUGAUUUAUGCACAUAACCUGUUUGAUUAAAUGCCUUUCUGCUCAACAUCUAUUAUGCCUCUCUAGUCUCUACCAUAACUAUGGAUGUGUUUUUACUUAAGUCUCUUGAAAAGCAAAUGCUUGAGCACAUCUCUUCAUUGUUCUUUCUUUUCUAUUUAUCAUCUGCUGUAAUGAUUAUUAAAUAUCUGCACUGUGCCCUUCAUGUAUGCUUGGUGCUAACUGCUGUGUUGCUAUUCUGAUGCUUCCACUCCCCAUGGUCUUGAGGCCGGAGCUCCUCGCCGGCGGCCGUGGCAAUGCGCAAGCCCAAGGGACAACAACAGCUGAGGUCUUUUCUCGUCGACAGUGCAACAAUUGCAGCUAGACUUCUCUCAGUUUGAUCUGAUGGUCUACUCAAGCUUGGCACUUGUAUCAGCAAGGAAGGAAGGAUGCGAGAGACUGAUCAUCACAACCCAAAAGAUGGUACAUUUCUAUAAAAAAUGGUUGCAGCAAGCAAGGGAGUAUGUGUUAAUCUGACUUCAACUGAUAUUUUAGAGAACAAGUGUAAUCAACUAUUGACUAUUGUGAUGUGCUUCUAAAUGUAACCUGAGAUGUUGCAUCUUUUGUUUUUUGAGAUUAUGAUAUACUGGACCUAAUAUGUGUAAUUCUGAUAAAUGGGCUGAAAACUUACUAUGUCAUUUGGGCUGAAAUGUUGCUAUGAUGAA